rnacentral:rRNA from 1 species
UGGGGAAUAUUCCACAAUGGGCGCCAGCCUGAUGCAGCCAUGCCGCGUGUGUGAAGAAGGCCUUCGGGUUGUAAAGCACUUUCAGCGGGGAGGAAGGCGAUAAGGUUAAUAACCUUGUCGAUUGACGUUACCCGCAGAAGAAGCACCGGCUAACUCCGUGCCCGCAGCCGCGGCAAUACGGAGGGUGCAAGCGUUAAUCGGACUUACUUGGCGUAAAGCGCACGCAGGCGGUCUGUCAAGUCGGAUGUGAAAUCCCCGGGCUGAACCUGGGAAGUGCAUGCGAAACUGGCAGGCUAGAGUCUGGUAGAGGGGGGUAGAAUUACAGGUGUAGCGGUGAAAUGCGGAGAGAUCUGGAGGAAGACCGGUGGCGAAGGCGGCCCCCUGGACGAAGACUGACGCUCAGGUGCGAAGGAGUGGGGAGCAAACAGG